CACAAAUACGACAAGAGACUCAACUCAACUCAACUACUACAAGUUCUCCGGAGUUGUUGUUUCGUUUCAAUUUCAAUUUCAAUUUGUGUUUUGAACUCUCUCUCACUUUAUUUCUCUUUCCUCAAUUUGUUCUUCCACGACAUGGCCACCGCCAAAGAAGAAUUUCUGAAAGAGUUCGGUGAACAUUACGGUUAUCCCAACUCCCCCAAAACUAUUGAUCAAAUUCGUGCUGCUGAAUUCAACAGAUUACAAAAUCUUGUGUACUUGGAUCAUGCGGGUGCAACUUUGUACUCUGAGCUUCAAAUGGAAUCAGUUUUCAAGGAUCUCACUAGUAACGUUUAUGGAAAUCCUCAUAGCCAAAGUGAUUCCAGUUCUGCAACUCUCGAGAUUGUCAGGGAUGCCCGCCAGCAGGUCCUUGACUACUGCAAUGCUUCUCCCAAAGACUACAAGUGUAUAUUUACCUCGGGGGCAACGGCAGCGUUGAAGCUGGUUGGAGAGGCUUUUCCAUGGAGCUGUAACAGUAAUUUUAUGUAUACAAUGGAGAAUCAUAACAGUGUUAUUGGUAUAAGAGAUACUAGAUAUGCUCUUGGUCAAGGAGCUGCAGCCAUUGCAGUAGAUGUUGAAGAUGUACAUACUAGAAUAGAAGGUGAAAACUUUUCUACAAAGAUAUCACUGCACCAAAUACAAAGGAGAAAAGUGGCUGGAUUGCGUGAGGGAGAGCCAAUGGGUGAUGUGUAUAAUUUGUUUGCCUUUCCCUCAGAGUGCAAUUUCUCUGGGUUGAGAUUCAACCUUGACUUGGCGAAGAUUAUCAAGGAAGACUCAAGCAGGAUUUUAGGAACUUCAGUUUGCAACAAUGGACGAUGGUUGGUCUUGAUUGAUGCUGCAAAAGGAUCUGCUACCAUGCCACCAGAUUUGUCCAAGUAUCCUGUAGAUUUUGUUGCGCUCUCAUUUUACAAGCUGUUUGGCUAUCCUACUGGGCUUGGAGCUCUCGUUGUUCGAAAUGAUGCUGCCAAGUUACUGAAGAAAUCUUAUUUCAGUGGAGGAACAGUUGCUGCAUCAAUUGCGGAUAUUGAUUUCAUUAAAAGAAGGGAGGGUAUCGAGGAACUCUUUGAGGAUGGAACUGUUUCAUUCUUGAGCAUAGCAUCUAUCCGCCAUGGCUUCAAAAUACUGAAUUCUCUAACUUUAUCAGCAAUAUCAAGACAUACAACAUCUCUUGCCUCGUAUACGAGGAAAACACUUUUGGCCCUAAGGCAUAGCAAUGGAUCUAGUGUCUGCAUCCUCUAUGGACGUCAUAAUUCAAUGGAAAUGUGUCAUGAAAUGGGACCGAUAGUUUCAUUCAACUUGAAAAGACCAGAUGGUUCUUGGUUUGGAUACCGGGAAGUGGAAAAGCUAGCAUCUCUUUCAGGAAUUCAGCUAAGGACAGGAUGUUUCUGCAAUCCAGGUGCAUGUGCGAAAUACCUUGGUUUGUCUCAUAUGGAUCUCAUUUCAAAUACUGAGGCUGGCCACGUUUGUUGGGAUGACCAUGAUAUAAUAAAUGGAAAACCUAUUGGUGCUGUAAGAGUUUCCUUUGGCUACAUGUCAACAUAUGAAGAUGCCAAGAAGUUUGUUGAUUUUGUAACAAGUUCCUUCAUGUCAUCUCGAAAUCAUGUUGACCACGGGAAUCAAUUGGAAGGUGUGAAUGGUUUCCUAGAUACUUGUUAUUAUCUCAAAUCCAUUACAAUUUAUCCAAUAAAAUCCUGUGGAGGUUUCAGUGCAAGAAGUUGGCCUCUUAGCAACAAUGGUCUGAAACAUGAUCGUGAAUGGAUUCUGAAAAGCCUGAGUGGUGAAAUUCUAACACUUAAGAGGGUUCCAGAAAUGGGUUUUAUAAGUUCCUUUAUUGACCUCAGUCAGGGAAUGUUGUUCGUAGAGUCUCCACAUUGCAAAGAAAAAUUGCAAAUCAAGCUUCAGCUCGAUUUUUCUGAUGUUACUAUACAGGACAUUGAACUACAUGGCCAGAGAUACAAGGUAUAUAGUUACAGCAACGAGACCAAUGCAUGGUUUAGUGAAGCCAUUGGAAGACCUUGUACUUUGUUACGAUAUUCUGGUUCCAAUCACGAGUUUGUGUUGGAUAAGACCAAAGAUGUAGUCACAUGUAAAGAUACAAAUAGUGCAGUUUGUUUCGCCAAUGAAGCUCAAUUUUUACUUGUAUCUGAGGAAAGUGUUUCUGACCUAAACAAAAGAUUAUCUUCAGUUGAUGUUAUUCCUAGAUGUUCAGAAGGGAAUACAUGUAACAGCAACGCAAGUCAAUGCAAGUAGAUUUCGUCCCAACCUUUUGGUAUCUGGAGGUAGGGCUUAUGAUGAAGAUGGAUGGAGAGACAUUAGGAUUGGAAAUAAGUAUUUCAGAUCGCUAGGGGGAUGUAAUCGAUGCCAAAUAAUUAACCUUGCACUAAAUGCUGGACGAGUGCAAAAGUCAAAUGAACCUUUGGCAACUUUAGCAUCAUACAGGAGAGUAAAGGGAAGGAUUUUGUUUGGCAUACUGCUGAAAUAUGAAUCAGUCAAUGGAGAGCAGCAACAAGGUGAUUCUUGGCUUCAUGUGGGGCAGGAAGUGCAUCCAGAUUGAUGAGUGUGAUUUAUUUAUACGUAUAAUCAUAUAACCCAAAUUCAUGUCCUCCAAGUGUACUGGCAGCAUUUGACGAAGUGGUGUUUCUUGCCUCUAUGAUGCUGAACAAUUCUAUAGAGGUAUUCCAGAUAUGGUGUAAUGUGACAAUGAUUAUUGCAAAAUGUAUCAGUCAUAAAUUCUUUUGCUGUUAUAUGUUGACUACAGAAAAAUAAAGAAUGAAUAGAAUAUAAGUGGUACAUAAUUGAUUUAAUUUUUCCACCACGUUGUAUAGAAAGAGAUUGAAAUUGAGUCUUUUCCGGAUUUGUACACUUUUAGCCUGUACAUGUACAAACUUUUUACCCUUCAGUAAUUCAACAAGAAUAAUUCAACUUUUUAUCA